rnacentral:snoRNA from 1 species
AAUGCACACUAUUAAAGCCGGACACCGUUGUUGGUGUUCAGGUGUCGGAAGUGUGCAAAAGUAAUUAUGGACGGGUUUUCAUGUAAACCAUUGAGAACUGACGUUCCAGGAUUGUGGUUUGAUAGCCCUGAGCCACAAUG